UGGGGAAUAUUGCACAAUGGAGGGAACUCUGAUGCAGCGACGCCGCGUGAACGAAGAAGGCUUUCGAGUCGUAAAGUUCUUUUAUAUGGGAAGAUAAUGACGGUACCAUAAGAAAAAGCCCCGGCUAACUACGUGCCAGCAGCCGCGGUAAUACGUAGGGGGCUAGCGUUGUCCGGAAUCACUGGGCGUAAAGGGUUCGCAGGCGGAAAUGCAAGACAGGUGUAAAAGGCAGUAGCUUAACUACUGUAAGCAUUUGAAACUGCAUAUCUUGAGAAGUGUAGAGGUAAGUGGAAUUUUUAGUGUAGCGGUGAAAUGCGUAGAUAUUAAAAAGAAUACCGGGGGCGAAGGCGACUUACUGGGCUCAUUCUGACGCUGAGGAACGAAAGCGUGGGUAGCAAACAGG
rnacentral:rRNA from 1 species